GCAUAUCAAUAAGCGGAGGAAAAGAAACUAACAAGGAUUCCCCUAGUAACGGCGAGUGAACCGGGAAGAGCUCAAAUUUGAAAUCUGGCGUCCUCAGGGCGUCCGAGUUGUAAUCUAUAGAGGCGUUUUCCGUGCCGGACCGUGUCCAAGUUCCUUGGAACAGGAUAUCAAAGAGGGUGACAAUCCCGUACUUGACACGACGACCGGUGCUCUGUGAUACGUCUUCUACGAGUCGAGUUG
rnacentral:rRNA from 1 species